GUUUCAGCAGGAUCCCUGGAAUCAAGAGAUUGAAACCUUCAUAGUAAAACGACUCUUCAGUGAACAUCAUAAAAUAAAAAACCUUACGAUGAGGCGACAAUGUGAGAAGAAACUACAGGUGAUUUGAGUCACGUGCUGUACCAACAUGCUACGAUGGCAGCAGCCGCCGCUGUUUUAUCCUGAUCAAUUAUUUCUUGCAAUUGGAUCUACGAACAAUGAGACUCCACCAUACAAAAAUAGCAGGGAAACCUCACUCUCGAAAGGAAUCGAGAGGGGGGAAACAAAAAAAGGGCGUCCACCCCAUCAUGACGUUGAUCAUGAAGGCCAGAACAUCGAGCUUCAUCAUCUUCAUCAUCAUCCACGCCGUAGCCAUCGACUCCCUCAUCCAUCUCGUAGUAAUCCCGAAGACUAUUAUGGAUGCAUACAUGUACCAUUUUAAUCGUUCAUCUGUUAAGUGUAUACCCUUUGGUGAUGUCUUGUGCCCCAUGUGCGAG
rnacentral:lncRNA from 1 species